UGGAGAGUGGUAGUAGUAUGGGGGAGGGGGUGAUUUCACUGGUGGAGGUGGAGAGUGGUAAUAGUAUGGAGGAGGUGGUGACUUCACGGGUGGAGGUGGAGAGGGGUAGUAGUAUGGGGGAGGGGGUGAUUUCACUGGUGGAGGUGGAGAAUGGUAAUAGUAUGGAGGAGGUGGUGACUUCACGGGUGGAGGUGGAGAGUGAUAGUAGUAUGGGGGAGGAGGAGACUUCACUGGUGGGGGUGGUGAGUGAUAGUAAUAUGGAGGAGGGGGUGAUUUUACCGGUGGAGGUGGAGAGUGGUAGUAGUAUGGAGGAGGAGGAGACUUCACGGGUGGAGGUGGAGAGUGGUAGUAGUACGGAGGAGGGGGAGACUUCACCGGUGGAGGUGGAGAGUGGUAGUAGUACGGAGGAGGAGGUGACUUCACGGGUGGAGGUGGAGAGUGAUAAUAGUACGGAGGAGGAGGUGACUUCACUGGUGGUGGUGGAGAGUGAUAAUAGUAUGGGGGAGGAGGUGACUUCACUGGUGGUGGUGGAGAGUGAUAGUAAUAUGGGGGAGGAGGUGAUUUCACUGGUGGAGGUGGAGAAUGGUAAUAGUAUGGAGGAGGUGGUGACUUUACUGGUGGUGGUGGAGAAGUGUAGUAGUAAGGAGCAGGUGUGGGCUCGGGUUUAGGCUUCUUACACUCCUCGUAAGGAGUUUUAGGAGCAUAAGCAAAUGGCUUAGCUUGAAGAACAACUUCAUACUUUGUCUUGGACUUAACCUUAAGCUCGGCACCCUUAUCACCCAUGUGUAGGUCAGUUGGGAUGUUACAAGGUGAGUGUUUGGGUGCCUUAUGGAGCUUAGCCUUGCAAGCCUCUGCUCCGUAUUUACCAUAGUAAAAGCCCUCAACAGGAAUACUAUAUUUACCAUUGAUCUUGGUUUUACCAUAUGCCUUUAUUUCUUUAUCACCUGCCUUACAUGUCACCUCAACUACAGCACCUGAUCCAUUGUACAACAGAUAAGAAAAAUAAUUUCAUGUUAGGAAAGUCAAAGAAAGGAUAAUAAUUAUUUUGUCUUAUAUUUUUAUUUUUCUUUGAAAAAUCAUAGAUAGACAUUUACGACAAUGAAAUACUUUGUCAAGCUACAAUUUUGGUUAAAAAAAUUUACCAUUAUGCAUAAAGCAAACAAGCAAUUUAGCUUUUUUUUUUUUUUUCCAAUAUUGUAGAUAUUAUAGUACAAAAUAUAUUAUUACGGUACUGUAAUUUAAGUAAAUUAUACUUACAAUAAAAAAUACGAAUUAAAUCAAUUAUUAAAUCCAUAAAAGACAAAAUUUUAAUUUAGAUGCGGACAGGCUGGGAAAGCAAUUAAUUCUUAUUUCAAAGUAUUUUAAAAUGUUUGAUGGUCUUAUCUCAUGUUAUAUAAAAUGCUAAAAAUUGAUUUUUUUUUAAUUAUAAAAAUUUCCAAUUUAUAUAUAUACAAUAAAAUAAUUGUCAAACCAUGUGACAAUAAAUAAUUAAUGGUAAUUCAAACAAAAUUACUACAGGCCAAUGAUUGUAAGUUGGAACAGGAAAGGAAUAAAAACAAGAAAUAUAAAUAAAUAAAUCAUUUAAAGCACAUGCAUAACAGGAAACAUAUUCUCUAUCAAAACUGAAGUUAAUGAAGAUUAAAAAGGAAUAAACAUAGAGAGUUGCAGGCAAUAUUUUAACGAAAAAUUAAUCUUAAGGAUUUAGAAAAACAAAUGUACCUUUGAGAUGCUUCUUGUCGUGUGACUUCUCUGGGUAUUCCCAAUCGUAGCAUCUGAUGCAGUACACUUUUCCUACUACCUUCACUACCAAUUUAUGGUGAUGGGGGUGAGGGUGAGGGUGAGGGUAAGGAUGAGGAACCGGUGGUGGUGGAGAAGUAUAGUAGUAUGGUGGAGGAUAAGCCUUAGGUGGUGGUGGCGACUUGUAGUAGUAGGGAGCUGGAGUUGGUGAUUUUGUUGGUGGUGGUGGAGAUUUAUAGUAGUAUGGUGCUGGAUGAUAUGGUGAGGGUGGUGGUGGAGACUUGUAAUAGUAUGGUGCUGGAGUUGGUGAUUUUUCGGGUGGUGGAGGAGAUUUGUAGUGGUAUGGUGGAGGAGGAGAGGGUGAUGGUGGAGGUGGGGACUUAUAGUAGUAUGGCUCAGGUGCUGGUGAUUUUUCGGGUGGUGGAGGAGAUUUGUAGUAGUAUGGUGGAGGAGGAGAUGGUGAUGGUGGAGGUGGGGACUUAUAGUAGUAUGGCUCUGGUGCUGGUGAUUUUUUAGGUGGUGGGGGAGAUUGGUAGUAAUAUGGUGGUGGAGGAGAUGGUGAAGGUGGUGGUGGUGAUUUGUAAUAAUAAGGUGGUGGAGGUGAUGGUGAGGGAGGUGGUGGUGAUUUGUAGUAGUAUGGAGGAGGGGGAGAUGGAGAUGGAGGUGGUGGUGACUUGUAAUAGUAAGGUGGUGGUGGAGAAGGAGAGGGUGGUGGAGGAGACUUGUAUUCAUAGUGAGGCUUAGGAGAUGGUGGUGGUGGAGACUUGUAUUCAUAUGGUGGUGGUGGUGAUGGGGAAGGUGGUGGUGGUGACUUGUACUCAUAAUGAGGCUUAGGAGAUGGUGGUGGUGGUGACUUGUAUUCAUAAUGAGGUUUGGGAGAUGGAGGUGGUGGUGACUUGUCUUCAUAAGGUGGUGGUGGAGACGGAGAUGGUGGUGGGGGAGACUUGUAUUCAUAAGGGGGUGGUGGAGAUGGAGAUGGUGGGGGGGGGGACUUGUAUUCAUAAUGAGGCUUGGGAGAUGGAGGCGGUGGGGACUUGUAUUCAUAAGGCGGUGGUGGAGAUGGAGAUGGUGGGGGGGGGGACUUGUAUUCAUAAUGAGGCUUGGGAGAUGGAGGCGGUGGGGACUUGUAUUCAUAAGGCGGUGGUGGAGAUGGAGAUGGUGGGGGGGGGGACUUGUAUUCAUAAUGAGGCUUGGGAGAUGGAGGCGGUGGGGACUUGUAUUCAUAAGGUGGUGGUGGAGAUGGAGAAGGUGGUGGGGGAGACUUGUACUCAUAAUGAGGCUUGGGAGAUGGAGGCGGUGGGGACUUGUAUUCAUAAGGUGGUGGGGGAGAUGGAGAAGGUGGUGGGGGCGACUUGUACUCAUAAUGAGGUUUAGGAGAUGGAGGUGGUGGUGACUUAUAUUCAUAAGGUGGGGGUGGGGAUGGAGAAGGUGGGGGGGGAGACUUGUACUCAUAAUGAGGUUUAGGAGAUGGAGGUGGUGGUGACUUAUACUCAUAAGGUGGUGGAGGAGAAGGAGAUGGUGGUGGUGGUGACUUAUAUUCAUAAGGUGGUGGUGGGGAUGGAGAAGGUGGUGGGGGAGACUUGUACUCAUAAUGAGGUUUAGGAGAUGGAGGUGGUGGUGACUUAUACUCAUAAGGUGGGGGAGGAGAAGGAGAUGGUGGUGGUGGUGACUUAUAUUCAUAAGGUGGUGGUGGGGAUGGAGAUGGAGGUGGAGGAGACUUGUACUCGUAAUGAGGUUUAGGAGAUGGUGGUGGGGGUGACUUGUACUCAUAAGGAGGUGGUGGAGAAGGAGAAGGUGGAGGUGGUGACUUAUAUUCAUAAUGAGGUUUAGGUGAUGGUGGAGGUGGUGAUUUAUACUCAUAAGGAGGUGGUGGAGAAGGAGAAGGUGGAGGUGGAGAAUAGUAAGGAUAAGCAUCUCCUGAUACUGAACUUACACUACUUGAAACAAAAACUACAGCCAACGCUAUGGCCAAGUGAGGCCAAAGACGACCCCACCCGGGGCCGCCGCCGGAACUUCUCAUUUCUU
rnacentral:lncRNA from 1 species